rnacentral:lncRNA from 1 species
GUAGGGAGAAUUGGAAGGAAGGACACAUGAGAGCCAGCCUGCGACACCUAAGGACAGAAACACCUCCCUCAGCCCAGCCGGCUGCUGACUCCAUGUGAAGAGGGACACCGACCCUUACAAUCUCACAGUGUCCUGCCCCUGCCCCUGCCCCUGUGAGGGCGAUGCUCCUUCCAUCAAAACCAGAGUGUCCCAGCUCUAGAUUCCCCACCCAAUCCCCAUGGCCCCCACUCACCACCUCCUGUGGCUGCCUCAGCACCUCCGUCGUGAAUCCGUGCAUCCCUCAGACGACUGCCUUCCGAUGCGGCCCCUGACCUGCACCCCCUCCCAUCACUGAAUAGGACUCCUUUUCUCCUGGGUUUCCUGUAGGAAGUUUCAAAAUGCUCUCCAGGUUUUCUGUGGGUGGAUUCUCUCUCUGGAUCUUUCUAAGUGAGUCCUGUGUUUCACCACAGCUCCCCCCACACAGUUGAGCAGCUGUACCGUGGGGAGGCUUGGUCCUCUUGCCCCAUUUGUGUGAUGUCUAUUGUAGUCAUGCCAGGGUCCUGACGUCAGAGCUCCACCCUGACAUGUGCUCAUGCCGGUUUACAAACCCUCCCAGGACCAGGCCCCCAUCCCUCUUCCAGGACAGGCUCUGGAGCUCCAGCUAUUAACAGAAACAUUCCAGCCAGCAUCCCCAGUGACCCUUAGCCUCCCACGCCACUGUGUCUUCAUGACCACAGCCUGGCCACCACACAGCUCCCCCUCGAGGACUGUGACCACUUCCAGCCAUUGUCUCUUUGGG